AUAAAAUCCAUGAAGCUCUUCAUUCACCAUAUCCAUGUUUUUGUUCCCAAAAAGGGUGAAAUGGUAACCAGGCUGACUGUUCAGUUCUACUUCAAUUUGUCCAUAUGGAGUUGCUAAAUAAGACUGGAACUCCCGAAGCAGCUACUGAAGAGAGAAUUCAGUGGUCGGUGCUCUUUUCAUUGUUCAGGAUCAUUAGGCUACUAGUAACAAUAAAGGCUUCAUAAGCUGCAUGGACUUUGUCUAGGCGUAGCUUAUCACACAUGCAGUAGGACUUCCCUCUCUACUGCCCUCGGAUUUUGUGAUUAAUGCUCUUCAUGGAACCAUGAUCAAAGUAAAAUGAAAGCCUCUAGUGGUCCAUCUAGUUUCUUUACUAAAGAAAACUGAGGCGCAAUUGAGACAAGUUGUCAAUGGCUACUCUUUAUUCAUGAUCAUGAUGUAAAUAUUUUGGGACAAACAGAAGAAAUCUCUUGGUGAGUUCCGCUGCAUUUAUGUUUCUGAUUUCAAGCAUGUGUGCUGGGGUUGUAUUCUGCUGUGGAUGAUGUCAUAUAAGUGAUUACCCCUUUGGGUUUUAUUA